rnacentral:lncRNA from 1 species
CAGGCGCCGCGGCCUGGACGCGUGGGUUCUACUCUGGACUCACACCAGGGACCACUUUGUGACGUUGCAUCCGUUCCUUCCCUUCGUCUCUUCCUCUCCGAGCCUCAGUUUCCCCAUCUUCCGAAAGGGGCCUGGCAUAUCCUGGGCAGGCAGAUGGUGGAUCAGAGGUAGUGAGGUGCCUACAAGGAAAUGCUCCCAACAGGGUGGCUUGGAGGAAUCCUCCUUCCUCAGCACUCAUGGGCCGGGCACUGUUCUAGGCCGUGGGGGUGGGGAUCGAGCAGUGGCCACACUGACAAAGCCCCUACCCUUGUGGAAGUGACAUUCUACUGAGGCCAUGGACACGUACAGUACCCAAGUAAGCAGUGAGAAGAUGGCACGGGCCACGGAGAAAAAUGAAGCAAGGUUGGCAGGACAGGGCGUGCUGUGCAAAGGCAACGCAGCCCCCAGGACCCACGGUGGGCCUCGCCCCAGGCCCUCCUUGCAAAGCUCUGAACUGCUCACUCCCAAACUGCUGGUUGUUCAAGGUCAUGGGAAACCUGCAGACUUGGCAUUCUCCAAGGGAGUCUCCCACCCUCCACCUGCCAGAAUGACAGAGGCUCCCCCAUGGAGAUUCCUGGCAUGCCCAGCCCCACGUCUGGGUUGAGAGUAGUGACUCAGAAGAAAAUGAAGGCUACUGCUAGCAACCAAAUGAGGGGACACCCCUGGGAGACUGUGAUCCUCUCCUCCAGGCUACUUUCCCACUGGUGCCAGGAUUCCCCCAACGCCACACUGAGAACCCAG